GCCCCAUCGAGUAUAUAACCAGAAAUAUAGACGAAAUGAGGAAAAGAAACUUAAUAUCUUAGCUAUUGAACUAUAUUUUACCGACUGCACUCUGUAGCUACUUCUUUGCGAUUCACUUUGUAGAAAAAUAACGAGACUCGUCGAGCUG